GACGAACGCUGGCGGCGUGCUUAACACAUGCAAGUCGAACGGAAAGGCCCUGCUUUUGUUGGGUGCUCGAGUGGCGAACGGGUGAGUAACACGUGAGUAACCUGCCCUUGACUUUGGGAUAACUCCAGGAAACUGGGGCUAAUACCGGAUAUGAGCUCUUGCUGCAUGGUGUGGGUUGGAAAGUUUCGGCGGUUGGGGAUGGACUCGCGGCUUAUCAGCUUGUUGGUGGGGUAGUGGCUUACCAAGGCUUUGACGGGUAGCCGGCCUGAGAGGGUGACCGGCCACAUUGGGACUGAGGUACGGCCCAGACUGCUACGGGAGGCAGCAGUGGGGAAUAUUGCACAAUGGGCGGAAGCCUGAUGCAGCAACGCCGCGUGCGGGAUGACGGCCUUCGGGUUGUAAACCGCUUUCGCCUGUGACGAAGCGUGAGUGACGGUAAUGGGUAAAGAAGCACCGGCUAACUACGUG
rnacentral:rRNA from 1 species